AGGGGAGAGGAGGGCCUGCAGGUUUCAUUUCCUCACUUCCAACUGAGAGGGGGUGGAGGGCAAGGUCACCUGAAAAAGGCCUCGGCAACGUCAGCUGGGACCCAGGAGGACCAGACAGCGGUGCCCCCUUGACCAGACGGCGGUCCCCCCUUAACCACCCGGCAGGGUCCCCCAGGCCCUGUCGGUUCUCAGAGAGAGAGACCUGGGCUAGGCCGAUUCACACGCACACCCCGUCUGGCCCACGGGCACAAGGAGGAAAAUCCAUUAGGAGCGGAGAUGCCAGGCUUUUACCCGCUGAUUGGAGCCAGAGGCCUUCAGCCGUGCCAGAGGACCCUGCCGAGGGGGUUGAAGGUGACAACGGAUGGCCACUGAUUAUGGAGCGGGACAUCCGGGUGUUCAAUAGACUGUGUAUGGCAUGUCUGCCCCGCGAUGGGCUUGGGAAGAGAACGGGCAAAAUGCUGCCCCUCGUGGGGCUUAUGUAUCGCUGGGGAGAUAGCUGAUUAGCAACAAUAUAAAUAAUACUCAAUAUAAAUAAUACUCGUGUGGCGUGGCUGAUGGGACAGAUAAAACGGAGAAAAACGAAGGAGGAAGAGAGUACGAGGAGUGCUGGUGGAGAACACAAUUUUAAUGAGGGGUGUCGGGGGCACCCACUGGGGUGAUGUUUAGGCAGAGGCGUUCACCUUUAUUACAGAGAAGACUUUAGGGGGACUUGUGACCCCGGGACAUUUGGAGUCAGAGUUGCGAGUGGUGAGGUCACAGGUGCAGCUGGACAUCGGGGGGCCAUCAGCUCUUAGAAGAUGUUUACGGCCAUGAGACCAAUGACCUUGCUGGGAGGAGGAGUGAGGACAGAAGAGAAGCCACGCCCUGAGCCCCGAACCCCAAGGCUAGGGAUGAGUCUGGGAUGGGGGGUCCUGGAGGCCAGCAAGGAGCUAGGGGUUGUUCUUCCAUCAGAUCAGAGAGGGAGUGAGGGCUGAGGCCAACUGCUGCUCAACGUGAUGGGGUCGCCAUUGUCACUGAAGUGGCCUUGUUCCUGAAGGGGGCCAGUGCACA
rnacentral:lncRNA from 1 species